rnacentral:rRNA from 1 species
GAUUUCUGGUUUAAUGCACCUGGCCCGCGGCCACUAGGCUUGUGAGUGCCGGCGCGCGUUUACCAUCCUUCUAGAAAACGUUUCUGCCAUUAACUUGGUUGGGAUCGUGAACUAGAUCUUUUACUUUGAAAAAAUUAGAGUGUUUAAAGCAGGCUUUUGCUAUGAAUACAUUAGCAUGGAAUAAUAAUCUAGGACUUCGGUUCUAUUUUGUUGGUUUCUAUAACUGAAGUAAUGAUUGAUAGGGACAGUUGGGGGUGCUAGUAUUGGCCGGCCAGAGGGGAAAUUCUUGGAUUCGGUCAAGACUAACUUAUGCGAAAGCAUU